UACGAAGGGGGCGAGCGUUGCUCGGAUUUACUGGGCGUAAAGGGCGCGUAGGCGGUUCGUAAAGUCAGACGUGAAAUUCCUGGGCUCAACCUGGGGGCUGCGUUUGAUACGGGCGGACUUGAGUGCGGAAGAGGGUCGUGGAAUUCCCAGUGUAGAGGUGAAAUUCGUAGAUAUUGGGAAGAACACCGGUGGCGAAGGCGGCGACCUGGUCCGAUACUGACGCUGAGGCGCGAAAGCGUGGGGAGCAAACAGG
rnacentral:rRNA from 1 species